rnacentral:lncRNA from 10 species
CCUAGAUUGACUUUCAAGUCUAUUUAGGACCCCAGAGCCUUUGAGCCCACAGUGGUGGGGCUUGCAAAAACUUAUGUUCCAACCAUUGGGAUGGAUGAUGAUGCCCCUCUGUCUAGGGCUGGUCUAAAUGCUUCCUCUGUGGUGCACAGAUUUUCCAUGCCACAGGACCACUACUGGGGAGUGGAGGAGGGGUGGCUUCAGGGAUUCAAGACUGUGUUUUCUACCUUCCUCGGUGCCUCUUUCAGCGAUAGGAAGUUAAAACCAGUUCUGGAGGCCGGAAGUUGAGAUCAAGGUGUCAGCAGGGCUGUGCUCUGCGGAGAAUGCUGGGGAAGGAUCUGUCCAGGACUCUCUCCGCUUCUGGUGGUUCCUUGGCAUGUGGCAGCAUCACUCCAAUCAGCAUGUGGCAUCCUCCCUGUGUGCCUGGGUCUGUGUCCAGACUUCCCCUUUUCAGAAGGACACCAGCUGUGUUGAAUGACAGCCCACCUGGCUCCAGUGUGACCUCAUUCUAACUUAACUAACAUCUGCAAUGACCCUGUUUCCAAAUGAGGUCACAAUCUGAGGGACUGGGGCUUAGGACUUCAACGCAGGAAUUCGGGGGCAUACAAUUCAACCCAGAACAACAACCUUAUCCAUGUCUUCACUCUAUUUAAACUUCCUAACUCUUUUGGAGCUCGUUGUGAUAAGUUAUAUUUUUCUAAGAAACUAUCCAUUUGUUAAAUGUUUUCAAAUAUAGCUGAAUAAAAUGGAUCAAGUUAAUCUUUAUGAUUUUAUUUUCUGUUGCUUUUUCCUCUGCAAAAAUAAAUAAUUAAUUUU